rnacentral:misc_RNA from 1 species
GGACGAUCAGCAAUUCUGCCUGAGGUGGAACAAUCACCAAAGUACUUUAGUAGCGGUUUUUGACACAUUAUUAGAAAGCGGAACGUUAGUGGACUGCACGCUUGCCGCCGAGGGAAAAUUCCUGAAUGCACACAAAGUCGUCUUAUCAGCGUGCAGUCCGUAUUUUGAGGCACUAUUAUCAAAACACUUCGACAAACAUCCAAUCCUCAUCCUAAAAGAUGUAAAGUUCCAAGAACUGAAGGCAA